rnacentral:rRNA from 1 species
UACACACCGCCCGUCACACCAUGGGAGUUGGCUUUACCUGAAGACGGUGCGCUAACCACAAGGAGGCAGCCGGCCACGGUAGGGUCAGCGACUGGGGUG